UUGNAGGGGACCGGCGUCCNUUUGNAGUGCAAGAACAACGAGAUUUUUUUCUGUAGCAAUACAGGAAAAAGUCUAGUGGCGAACGGGUGCGUAACACGUGAGCAACCUGCCGUGAAGUGGGGGAUAGCUCGCCGAAAGGCGAAUUAAUACCGCAUAUGGCCAAGGAAGACAUCUUCCUGACGCCAAAGCCGGGGUAACCUGGCGCUUCUCGAGGGGCUCGCGGCCUAUCAGCUUGUUGGUGAGGUAACGGCUCACCAAGGCUAUGACGGGUAGCUGGUCUGAGAGGACGACCAGCCACACUGGAACUGAGACACGGUCCAGACACCUACGGGUGGCAGCAGUCGAGAAUUUUUCACAAUGGGGGAAACCCUGAUGGAGCGACGCCGCGUGGAGGAUGAAGGUUUUCGGAUUGUAAACUCCUGUCAUUAGAGAACAAGGCACAUGGUUUAACUGGCCGUGUGUUGAUAGUAUCUGAAGAGGAAGGGACGGCUAACUCUGUGCCAGCAGCCGCGGUAAUACAGAGGUCUCAAGCGUUGUUCGGAUUCAUUGGGGCGUAAGGGUGCGUAGGUGGCGAGGUAAGUCGGAUGUGAAAUCUCCAAGCUCAACUUGGAAACUGCAUUCGAUACUGCUUUGCUAGAGGAUUGUAGAGGGCAUUGGAAUUUCACGUGUAGCAGUGAAAUGCGUAGAUAUCGUGAGGAAGACCAGUGGCGAGGCGAAUGCCCUGGCAAUUCUGACACUGANGCACGAGGGCANNGGGAGCAACGGNAUUAGAUACCCCGUAGUCCUGG
rnacentral:rRNA from 1 species